rnacentral:rRNA from 1 species
CCCUUAGAUGUCCUGGGCUGCACGCGCGCUACACUGGAAGUUACGGAUUGAGAUACUACCUUGUCCGAAAUGGUCCGGGUAAUCACCUAAAAGCUUGUCAUAAUUGGAAUGGAUUAUUGUAACUAGUAAUCCUGAACGAGGAAUUCCUAGUAAGUCCCAGUCAACAGCUGGUACUGAUUACGUCCCUGCCCUUUGUACACACCGCCCGUCGCUACUACUGAUUGGACGUUUAAGCAAGAUUUUUAAACACUGACAGUGUGUAGUUCACGCUAUACUACAGUGAGAAGAAGAAGAUCAAGCUUACUUGUCUAGAGGAAGUAAAAGUCGUAACA